ACUCCAUGAAGUCGGAAUCGCUAGUAAUCGCGGAUCAGAAUGCCGCGGUGAAUACGUUCCCGGGCCUUGUACACACCGCCCGUCACACCAUGGGAGUUUGUUGCACCAGAAGUAGGUAGUCUAACCGUAAGGAGGACGCUUACCACGGUGUGGCCGAUGACUGGGGUGAAGUCGUAACAAGGUAGCCGUAGGGGAACCUGCGGCUGGAUCACCUCCUUAA
rnacentral:rRNA from 1 species